UGGUGUAGAACGUCGUGAGACAGUUCGGUCCCUAUCUGCCGUGGGCGCUGGAGAACUGAGGGGGGCUGCUCCUAGUACGAGAGGACCGGAGUGGACGCAACUCUGGUGUUCGGGUUGUCAUGCCAAUGGCACGGCCCUGUAGCUAAAUGCGGAAGAGAUAAGUGCUGAAAGCAUCUAAGCACGAAACUUGCCACGAGAUGAGUUCUCCCUGAGACUUUAAGUCUCCUGAAGGAACGUUGAAGACGACGACGUUGAUAGGCCGGGUGUGUAAGCGCAGCGAUGCGUUGAGCUAACCGGUACUAAUGAACCGUGAGGCUUAACCUU
rnacentral:rRNA from 1 species